GGAGUUGUGGCUCAGUGGUAGAGCACUUGCCUUGUAAGUGUGAGGCACUGGGUUCAAUCCUAGCACCA
rnacentral:tRNA from 1 species